rnacentral:rRNA from 1 species
AAAAUAACUCUCGACAAUGGAUAUCUCGGUUCUCACAUCGAUGAAGAAUGUAGUGAAAUGUGAUACUUGGUGUGAAUUACCAAAUCCCGUGAACCAUCGAGUCUUUGAACUCAAGUUGCGCCCGACGCCAUUAGGCCGAGGGAACGUCUACCUGGGUAUCAUGC